UUCUUGAAUCCUUUUUCAAGAUACGGUACUCUCAGCCAUAGCCGUCCGCUCAGUUGCUUUCUGGUCGUUCACGCGUGCAUCUAGCCACGCAAGGGAAGAUUCCUCCGUCUAUGUCGAGCUCUUUGCUUUGCCGAUGAUGCCUCUGCCUUUCGCGUCGGGAGAGUCUCCAUGGCUGGCUCUUCCAUCAGGGGGUCAAAGCAUCAAAAGAGGAAUGUUUCCAGUUGUCACCAAGGCAAGAAGCUGCGGGAGCAUUGUGGUUCUUCUUAUAAAUUUUGAUAGUGUUUUAUUGUAUUUUUCUCUUUAUUGAAGAAAAAUUGAAAUUAGAAGAUGGAAUUACAACUUGUGGAUGAACAAUCGAAGUUGUUUGGGUGUCAAGUAUUAAAGCAUUUCAAUAGAUCAAUGCCCCACUAUAUCCCAUUUUGUUAUUAUUGUCUUAUUAAUGUGCUUGUAAUUAUUAUAUUAGUAAAUUCUUGUACUAUUACAAAAGUUUUGAGUUGUAAUUUGUUAAAUAUUACGGAGUA